rnacentral:rRNA from 1 species
GGAGGAAUAUUGGUCAAUGGGCGAGAGCCUGAACCAGCCAAGUAGCGUGCAGGACGACGGCCCUAUGGGUUGUAAACUGCUUUUAUAUGGGGAUAAAGUGAGUUACGUGUAGCUUAUUGCAGGUACCAUAUGAAUAAGGACCGGCUAAUUCCGUGCCAGCAGCCGCGGUAAUACGGAAGGUCCAGGCGUUAUCCGGAUUUAUUGGGUUUAAAGGGAGCGUAGGCCGCCCCUUAAGCGUGUUGUGAAAUGCCGCGGCUCAACCGUGGCACUGCAGCGCGAACUGGGGGGCUUGAGUGCACGCAACGCAGGCGGAAUUCGUGGUGUAGCGGUGAAAUGCUUAGAUAUCACGAAGAACUCCGAUUGCGAAGGCAGCUUGCGGGAGUGCGACUGACGCUGAAGCUCGAAGGUGCGGGUAUCGAACAGGAUUAGAUACCCUGGUAGU